rnacentral:rRNA from 1 species
UACGUAGGGGGCAAGCGUUAUCCGGAUUUACUGGGCGUAAAGGGAGCGUAGACGGCGAUGCAAGUCUGAAGUGAAAGGCGGGGGCCCAACCCCCGGACUGCUUUGGAAACUGUAUGGCUGGAGUGCAGGAGAGGUAAGUGGAAUUCCUAGUGUAGCGGUGAAAUGCGUAGAUAUUAGGAGGAACACCAGUGGCGAAGGCGGCUUACUGGACUGUAACUGACGUUGAGGCUCGAAAGCGUGGGGAGCAAACAGG